GCGUGUCACCGACAUCCACUGGUUAGUCCCAGAUAGAGUGCAAACCCCGUGUCAGGUGUUUGCGGUGUCCUUUCCGGAAUCCGUCAUGAAGACUGAUCCUCUUGAUGAAUCCAUCCGUUAGCCAACGAGUACCAGGGGUGCUUGGUGUAGCGUCUAGGAUGGCCGGUGGAGUGUCCCCAUAGGGUACCGAUGGUUUCUGGCAGUGAGGUCAGCGGGGCGGCAAGAGGACAGGCCAAGUGACCUUCUG
rnacentral:lncRNA from 1 species